rfam:Oryza sativa (indica cultivar-group) chromosome 2, whole genome shotgun sequence.
CCAUGUGUAUCAGCACUAAAGCAACGGAUUCCAUCAGAACUCCGAAGUUAAGCGUGCUUGUGUGAGAGUAGUACUAGUAUGGGUGACCUCCUGGGAAAUCCUCGUGUUGCAUCCC